AACGCUGGCGGCGUGCUUAACACAUGCAAGUCGAACGAUGAUCCCAGCUUGCUGGGGGAUUAGUGGCGAACGGGUGAGUAACACGUGAGUAACCUGCCCUUAACUCUGGGAUAAGCCUGGGAAACUGGGUCUAAUACCGGAUAUGACUCCUCAUCGCAUGGUGGGGGGUGGAAAGCUUUAUUGUGGUUUUGGAUGGACUCGCGGCCUAUCAGCUUGUUGGUGAGGUAAUGGCUCACCAAGGCGACGACGGGUAGCCGGCCUGAGAGGGUGACCGGCCACACUGGGACUGAGACACGGCCCAGACUCCUACGGGAGGCAGCAGUGGGGAAUAUUGCACAAUGGGCGAAAGCCUGAUGCAGCGACGCCGCGUGAGGGAUGACGGCCUUCGGGUUGUAAACCUCUUUCAGUAGGGAAGAAGCGAAAGUGACGGUACCUGCAGAAGAAGCGCCGGCUAACUACGUGCCAGCAGCCGCGGUAAUACGUAGGGCGCAAGCGUUAUCCGGAAUUAUUGGGCGUAAAGAGCUCGUAGGCGGUUUGUCCCGUCUGCCGUGAAAGUCCGGGG
rnacentral:rRNA from 1 species